rnacentral:lncRNA from 1 species
AGUUGAGGAAAUGCUCCAGAGACACAAGUCAUUUCUUCCCCUAUGUAGGAAAAACUGAAAAGCCUUAGUAUAUUUAACUGAGGCAGCUUUCCUAGCUCUAGCAUUGGAUCUUUGCCCAGUACUGUCUUUGAUAAAGUGAGGCUUUUCAGGUUUGGAGGAAAUAUUGUGGAUUUGAAUGGUCUUAGUAACGAUCCAAACAAAUAUAAGUUGACCAGGUUGUGCUGCUCCUUGAAGCUCGUUAACUUGAUGGGUGCACUCUCACCAGACUUUCUCAUUGAUCUUAUCCUUAGAGAGUGAAGUUUGUUCAGUUGAGAUGUCCAAUCAAUUUUUAUACUUCUUGGGAUAUAGAAUGUCAACUGCAACUUUCUGAGGCAUUUAAACUUGCUCAAGGUCUCUGCAACUAAAGAUUCGGUGCUAAUAGACAACCCACAUAAGCUUUGAAGCUUAUUCAAAGUCUCCGCUGAGAGCACGUCCAAAGAAUCAAGACAAAUUCCAUUCAGAUAGAGAUGGCGCAGGCCCCUAAUCUUCCAAAAAGAAUCAGGCAAAGUGGUUAUGUUGGUGUGCUUCACAUCCAAAGUUUCCAGGCAUUGCAAAACGCCAAUAGAGACUGGAAGUGAAUUAAUAACAGUGGAUCUUAAGCCUAGGUACCUUAAGUUCAAGAGAGUGCCCAUUGCCUUGGGAAGCUGAGGUUUGUAGACACCCUCAAGAUCAAGCACCCUAAACACUCCGAGGUUUCCCUUACUCAUAAUCUUGUCUAAAAACAUGCUUGAAUUUCCAGCAGGGAUACCUCCUUUUAAAGUGUUAAAAGAUACAUAAGAACGUAAAUGGCUUUCGUGAAGUUUUGAAAAAGGGAUGUUUGAAUAUGUUGCAAGUCUCCGGACUGGUAAUUGUGAUGUGUUAGCUGAAAAUGACGUAUUGUGGAUCUGAAGAAAUCCAAUAUCCCUUGCUUUUAAGGAGAAGACAUCAUGGACAAGGCUUGGCAAACGACAUGUUUUGGGGCUCCCAUCUAACCUCCAUCUUACCACUUCAAUCAUUUUUCUACAAACUAGUUCCUCAAAAUACAUUUCUGCCAGAUCCUCCUCAACCAUAUCACCGUCAGACAAGGAUGUGACAAAACCCUCAGCUACCCACAGAUGAAUCAACCUCCUUAUGGGGAUCUCAAUCGCUUUCGGAAAGAGUCCCAUGUAAAGAAAGCAGGGCUUCAAGUAAGAAGGCAAUUCAUGAUAGCUUAAGGCCAAGAUACCUUCUAUAGCAUUCACAUGCUCGAUCACUCUUGACCAUUCGCUAUCUGUUAAUUCUUUAGCAGACAACAAACCACCCAUUAAGACAAUUGCUAGAGGUAAACCACCACAUAAUUUCAAGAUUUGCCCCUUGAAUUUCAUUAACUGAGAAUUAUGUAAUCUAUCUUCAGUUAUGUCUAGCUUCUUUAAGAACAAAGCCCAGCUUUCUUCAUCAUUCAAUGGACGUACCUGUAGAGUUGAACCAGCUGGCACUGCCAGGCCCGCCUUUCGGGUAGUUACAAUCACCACACCACCGUGGGAAAAGGGUGGAAAGACCUCCUUGAUUGCUUCCCAAAAUUCAGGAGCAUCGACAUCGUCAACAACAAUUAGAUAUCUUCCUUGUCCUAGAAGUUUAGGGAGCCUCCACUUUAAUUCGUCCUCCAGUAAUGGCUCUUUCGCAAUCUUUUCAUCAAGCUGGGUAAUCAUGUCAACCAAUAAAUCUCUCACUUUGAACUCUUUCGUAACAUGAACCCAUGCACGGCUAGUGAAAUGCCGCUUGAUGUCCACUCUGUUGUAUACGAUUCUUGCUAUGGCUGUUUUGCCUGAUCCUCCCUCGCCAACCAUCGAAACAAUUGCUGGUUGGUUCCCUUGCUCUGCCCCCUGGACUACAAGAGCAACCAAAUUCUUUACUUGUUCCUCAAGGCCAACCACGUGACUUUCACCGUCGAAACAAAAAUCAGAUAUUCUUGCCCAACGUUGGUGUUGGCUCGGGCCUGGGAUAUUGUUAUCAGUAACAUCUUGAAUAUCCAAUGGUUGCUUAUCUUUGAUUAAGUCUCCAGUCUUGGAAAUGAAUUGUUUCAUCUCUUUGUUGAAGACAACUCGGUUACAGAAAGAAGUGAAAGGCUUCCGACUCUGCAAUGCUUUCCUGACUAGAAAGUUGUCAAUGGCAUCAUCCAUAGAGUAGAGAGCUCGCAAGAGACGAGUUGUACACUUACCGCUGUUAAUUUCAACAGUUAAUGCUCGAUUCUUCUGAUCUGCUUCUUUCAGCAACUGCCUGAUCAAGUUGAGCUGGUGGGUGGUUCUCUGAACUUGAUCUUUCACCUUUGGGGUCAGGGCUAUCGCUUCAUCAUGGAGAAGAUUUUGCAGUUUCUGUGAGAGAAGAGAAACUACCACUUCAGCAUCCAUGGAGAAGAACAGGCUAAGAAUAAGGCAAAACUCUCAAGCAACGGAUAAAGAUGGGAAUUUGCUUCUAUUUUGUUGAUUGUUUUUGACCCUUUGGAUUUGAUUAAUUGUGGACAACAUUCGUUUGUUGGAUUAUUUUCCUUUGCCCUUUUCAACAUUUCAACGGAUAGGCAACCUAAGAUGCCUGUCUGUUUAAAAUAAUCUAUAACUUAAUAUAAAAGGAAACCAAGAGGGCUUCCUCGUUUAGCCACAUGCCAGCAUUGAGUUGUGAUUAGAGAGUGUUUUUUACCAGCCUGGAACACGAUGUGGGCCUUUCUUUUUUUUGUUUUUUUAAUACUCUGGCCAUUAGUCAAUGAUUGCUGUCUUUUGCUGCAUAGAAAACUGAGGGUUGAUCUCUCUUUUAAUACUCACACACAAAUUUGCUGUGUACAUUAUUGUCUCCUUUAGAGAAUAAAUAUAUAUAUAUAUAUUUCUUAUAAAAUAAAAAUACAAAAAAAAAAUNACAAUAUAUUAUAUAUAUAUAUAAAUAAUUUUUUUUUUUUUUUUUUUUUCUCUUAUAAAAUAAAAUAUUCAAAAAAAUAUUUGGAUAGAUAUUUGUGGAUUUUAUCCAAAUUUGAAGUAAAACAAAUUUUUAAUUUUUAAUGAGACAUGAUAGGGAUCACAAAGUGAAUUAAUUCUAAAUUAUUAUAAAAGUAUAAGAUAAAAAAGUAUUAAUUAACAUUGAAGAUCAUUUAGAAAAUUUCAUUGUUAAAACUACAAAAAAAUUAAUAAGUAUAAUUAAUAUUCAUUUUAUUUUGACUUUCAAAAAAUAGUCAUUUUAUUUUAAUAAUUUUAUUGUAUCUAUUAUGUAGCUUAUCAAUAAUUACUUUUAAAAUAUUAUAUUUUCUCAAUAUGAAUUUGAUUUCACUAUUAGAAUCAUGUAAUUAACAAAAUAUGGUUAUAUCAACAUUAGCAUAUACUAAAAUAUAAAAAAAAUCAAAUGUUUUCAAAAAAAAUUAUUUAAAUAAAAAAUUUUGCUUAACAAGAGAUGAGAAAAUAUUUUAAAAAUAAUGACUUUUUAAAAUAAUUAUCUUUAAUUUAUCAUUAUAAAUAUUAUUUAUAAUAUUUUUAAAAUUUAAAUUAAUUUCUCUUUAAUUAUUAAUAUUUUUAUUUAUAAUAUUAUGUAAUUUAAAAUUAUUUUUAAUGAAAAAUUCAACACCCACACGAAGCGGGGCACCACCCUAGUAAUUAUAAAUUGUUAAGUAUUCAAGCAAUAAAAGUAUCCCUUUUUUAUUCAAUUACAGAUACUUGGAAGUUUUUUGGCUCCCUCAAAGCAACCACUUGUUUACUUACUUUGUCAAAAAUAGGUAGAUGUAAGAAGUUAUGCUCGAUAUCUACUCUUUUCUUCCUGUUUCCCGUCCAGCUUCAAGAUCCAUUACCUUUGCAAUCAACAUUUUGGCAUCAGAGCCGGGAAUGGAGGAGUAGCGAGUGAGCAGUAUUAAGAAAGAUGUUUCUUUUCUUGCUGCAAGAUAGGAGAGACUUUUUCAGAAAACACAAGAGAUGUUUACUGCCAUGAAUGCAAGGUUUGAUAACCUUCAGUCGGUCCAAAAUCAAGAAACAGUAGAGAGUUCUUUCAACCAAAGCAGAAUUAACAAUGGUCGAUUUAGCAGAGAAGGAUCUAUGAGAACCAAUUACUUACCCAAAUUUGUGAAACUCGAAUUUCCUCAAUAUAGUGGCACAGAUGAUCCUACCUGAUGGAUUUGUAGAGCGGAGAAAUUCUUUGAAUAUCACCAAACUUUAGAUAAGGAAAAAGUGUCAUUAGCCUCCUUCAACUUGGAUGGAGAUGCUCAAUGUCACGAAUUACGCUCAUUCGCCUAAGCAUGCGAUAGUCCGUGCGACACUUGAGUAAACGUUUCCAUGCAAGCCAACCAAUACUCGGUUAUAUAUGAUCAAACAUCAAUAAUAGCAACCAAUCAAACUAAGACAAUGCACAUCAAAGUCAUAGGGCAUACCGAAUGCCAUAUAUGUAACCAUUGAGCUACAAAAAGAAAAAAUAUUUUAUUAAUAUGAAUAUUGAGUACAAAGGGACCAAGACACCCUAUGUCAGGCCCUAAGGACUGUCACGACCCGGUACUCCCCUCGAGCCCGUGACAACGGCCGCGGUGUCCCGGUAGACACUUAUUAUCCGAAAUGUCAACCCGAAAUCCCGCAAGGCUUUACUAUCAGUUUCUCAUUUCCCUUGUGAGCAACCAUUGACAAAUAUCGUGUUCUAAAAGAUUUAAAACUGUUUCCAACUAAAAACAAAUAAAAUAUUAAUUUUCGUCUUACAAUGGUAUUUUGGUCAUUUUUCUCAAAAAUUUCGAAACUGGCUAAAACGUAAUAUACAAGUACAAAACACAUAAUUCAUAUUCAAAAUGAGUUUAAAAGUCUAAAAUCUUCAUUUAAAAUGAAAUUACGGUUAUUUGAAUAUAAUAAGAAAAUAAAAGAAAUAUUAAGUAAAAUAUUCUAUUUUUUUAUAAAAUAAUAUUUAUAGAGUUAUACGUGAAUAAUUUUUAUAGCGUAAAAGCUAAAUAAAUUUAUACAUACUGAAAUACAGUGAGCCAAAAUAUUUAAUUUAAUUUACAAUAACAAGAGGGCCCCCGAAUAAACAAAAGUAAAGAGGAUUGUGAACCUACGGUUUGAAAAAUGAAGAUCCAACGGUAGUCCUCGAUGAGAUCAGCUAUCUACAGCCUACACUGAACCUGAAAUGGGUGGAAAUGAGGGUGGUGAGAUUAUAAAAUCCCAAUGAGUAAACAGACAUCAUCAUAAAUAUCUAGAGUUGAGUACAUGAAGACAAUAAAAUAAAUCAUCGUAAACUGGGUCACAGCAUAAGAAUACAUUUCAUUUAAAAUAUGUAAAGUGGCUUAUGAAUUUCAUAAAAACUAGACUUGUGCCAUAAAUCCAUUCUCAGGGACACCUUGGCCUAUGCAUCCUACCGAGACCGCCAAGGCUAUUAAAAUUCACAUUUCACAUAAAUCAUGUUUUUGUUUUGAAAACAUAGCCGUUCCUUGGCGUUGGCUGAGUUCCCCCUCACGUGGUGGUUUAGCGUGAAGUGAACUCUAAACUUUACCCCAGGAGAUACCCUACGCGCCUCUCCGUUCGAGGUAAGAAUAUAAUGGGGUUUACUGUGCCCCUCUAAAAGGCUGGUCCACAGAAACCCCCUACUGCAGUGAUUAAUUAAUAUAUAUAAUCCACCAUACAAUAAAACUCAAUAACAUGAUAUGGCAAUUUUAUAAUUCACAGUCUUUCAAGGCAAUCAAACAAUUCGCAUUUCAAUACAAUUGCCAACUAGCCAAUCAUGCCCGAUUUAUCAUAAGCCAAUCAAUUUAAACAAACAAAUUGCCACAAUUAACAGUCUCCGUGUACUCUAUUUUUCAAAAUCACUAUUAAUUUCAAAACAAUUUAUAAUUUAAUUUCAUUGAAACACAUUUAUUCAUAAAACAUGAAAAUUUACCUUUUUAAAUUCCUUUUUCCAUAGAAUUCAUGAAAUCAUCUAAAAACCACCCUAGAUAAUUAAAAUGACAGUAAGUUUACUCACAAUGUCUAGAAUGCAGACUUUCGAAGCACUCUGUCUACUGGUCCUCGGAUGCAAUUUCCUUGCCUUUAUCGGAGGACUCACCACCUUGACACAAUACAAAAUUGAGAAAUUCACCACAUUGGUACUAAAUUGAAAUUAAACUAAUUUAGACUACUAAUGCUUGAUAUGGAAUGCAAAAAUGUCUAAAUUUUUGCCUAAAUGCGGUGUUAGCCUAUUUCGGUCUUUUACCCGAUAAAUUGAUAUACGCGUCCGUUUAAACUCCAAAUUAAUUUUUUUCAGUUUCUAUACCUCAAUUGCACCCAAAUUGACUUAAUGUCCCUCAGUGUGGUGCAAAUUAUCAGUCUCGAUAGCAAAUUACGAAAAUACCCCUAGUGGGUAAAAAUUCGUAUUUUUGCUCCGAAAAUUCCCAUUAUUUUUCUAGGCUCAUAAUUCAUCAUUUCUUAACCAAUUCUCCUAGAAUAAAAAUCAAACUCAUCCUCACUCAUACAUGAUAAAUUUGGCCAUUAAUGGUUGUGGGAGAAAAUAAAUUCUUUUCUUGUUGUUUUGUUUCUAAAUAUGCUAAACUAACUAAAAACACUAACAUAACUUAAAAUCAAAUUAAUCUAACAACUUUCUCUCUCCUAACCCAUUUUGAUCAGCCAACAAUUCAUCAUAAAAACAUGUAAUUUAAGCAUGGAAAAUAAGGAGAAAUGCUUAAGGAAAAUAGAUUUCAAGCUUAAGUUGAAAAAUGCUACCUUUUUCACUUGUUUUCCUUGAUUUUUCACACUUUUUCUCUUGAAAUUCCUCACCUAGGGUUUGUUCUUCCUCUCUUUCUCUGUCUUCCUUGCUUGGCCGAAUAUUUGGAGAGUAAUGGGCUGAUUUAUACUGAUUUUUUGGUUAAAUAAUAAAAUAUCCUAAGCUUGACACAUGGCAUUUUCUUAUUGGUCCAUUUUUAAAAUUUUAAAAAUUUAAACAUUUUAUCUCCAUCACAUGAUUAGUCAAGGGUCAAAGAUGAAGAUAAAGGAAGACCAUGUGCUGAAAAAAAUGUCCUGAUGGUGGAAAAUUACAAUUUUGCCCCUGAGGUGGUAAAAUUAUCAUUUUACCCUUUUACUCCAAAUUAUACUGAAAUUAAAAUUUUUCACUUCUAAACCUCAAAUCAUACUCCAAUAAGUCAAAUUAUACUCCAAUAAGUCAAAUGGGAUCAAAAAAAUCUUUUUUAAAAUUCUCAUUUUGUCCCCAAGUGGCAAAUGACCAUUUUACCCUUAGAUAGUGAAAAUUCUGAUUCGACUCCAAAUUGAUCCUCAAACUCCGAAUUACCAUUUUCAGUCAUCCUUGGACUGUGACGAUCUUAAUCUCACCUUAAAAUUCCUAUUUGAUCUAGUUCGAGGAUUAAAUCAACUUUGUUGCACCUCUAGGUACAAUACCGACUUUUAUAAAUUUUUCGAGACUUUCCUAGCAUACAAUCAUGCUAUCAUCACAUGUACGUCAUGAAUAGUAUUUUAUAAGGUCGGGCUUUACAAGGACAAUCCUAGAUGAGUUUCUACAAACAUAUCUUGACUAGUGAGAAAGCCCAACAAUCCGCCUAUUGCUCACCCUUAUAAAGAGUUUAAGAGAUUUUUCACAUAUUUUAUCAAUAACCAUUACAACGCUUGAGAUAAGGACAUUUCUUUCCUAAAGGGCCUUUCCCCUUAAAAACCUAACAAGUAUUUUUAGAGAUGUCACUAUGAGUCAUUACAAUGUUUGAAAGAGGGAUAUUUCCUUUAAAAGUACAAAAGACUCAAUCCCUUAAACAACUUUACCUUAUCAUAGUCUAAUACAAGGUUGGCUCAUGACAUAUUUCCCCACUCAAUCUGUUGACAUACUCGUUGAUUGGUUGGCUUGGAAUUCUUCAAUCUUUUGUUGAAAGGUGCGAAGAUCGGCUUCCUUCUCCUAAGUGAUCUCACUUGGUCCCCAACAUUCCCAUCUCACUAGGUACUCUUGUGUUGGUCUUUGGUUGAUUAUCCUUGUCAUCCUUGCCAAAAUCUCCUCCACUCGGCACUGUGAUGGUAGCUUGGUGCUAAUGGCAACUCUUGUGGCUCGAAUCCUACUUACAUCUACUGGAUCUACAUAAAAUGGCUUCAGAUUGCUGACAUGAAACAUGGGGUAUACCUUUAUCCACUUAGGUGGAUUAAUCUUGUAAAAAGUCUUCCUCAUCUUGGCUACAACCAGUACUGGACUUUCAUACUUUUCGUACUAGUAUUUGAUCUCCCUUCUUUAGGAAUGGAAGUUGUUCGAGUACCAACUUCACCAACACUAGGUUUCCCACCUUAAGGUGUUACUCCUUUCGACCUCUAGCUACCCACUUCUUCAUGCGAUUAGAGGUUUUCUCUAAAUAAACUUUAGCGAUUUCAGUAUUUUGUCUCCACUCUUUAGUAAAGUUGAAUGCCCGGGGACUUUUUCCGCUAUACAAUUCCACUAAGGUAUAGGGAAAUUUAGGUUGUUGUUCGAUGACGACAUCGAAAAGGGUUCUAUUAGUGGUUAAGCUCUUAUGUGAGUUAAAACAUAGCUGAGCCACAUCUAGUAGGUUGAGCCAAUUCUUCUGGUUCGCUUGUAUGAAGUGUUGCAAGUAUUCUUCCAACAAGCCAUUGAAUUGUUCUAUCUAACCAUCUGUUUAUGGGUGAUAACUAGAAGAUAUAUUGAGUUCUGACCCUAAUAGCUUGAAAAGUUCUUUCUAGAAAAAGCUUGUAAACCUUGGUUCCCUAUAGCUAAUAAUGCUCUUAGGAACACCCUAAUAUUUUACCACAUGCUUAAACAUCGUGCGAGCUGUUUCUUCUGCAGAGCCAAACUUCUGCACUAGAAUGAAUGUCACGUACUUGGAUAAACGAUCCACCAUUACCAUGUGACACCUAAGACCCUUGUAUAGAAGUCAAUAUGACUUUAUCAACGAGACAAAGGAUCAAUUGAUGCUGAUUAAGUGCCAAAGGAUGUAGACAGGUGAAAAGAGUAUUUUAAGAUAAAAUAUUCUAUAUACGAAGAAAUAAUAAUAUUUUUAUCGAGGAAGAAUUUGCUAGAUAAAAAGUGGUUCGGAUGUGAAUCGAGGCAAAGUAAGAUGUUUUGGAGCCCUAGAAGACUAGUGGAAAAUUUUGGGAUAAAAUAGUAUUAAAAUAUUAAUAUUUUAUUCGAUGUCGAAAUUUUUCCAUGAAGGAGAAAUACAUCGUCAAUCUAAGUGGGGGAAAAGAAGAACAAGAAAAUUUCAGAGAAAAAUGAUGUUAAUGGGACCUGUGUGUCUUUAUUAAAUAAAGCUAACGCGAGAAAAUAAAUAUUUUAAAUAUUGUGGGGACACCUCUUUGGAGUACAAACUUUUUAUUUCAUUUGUACAUGUGUAAAAAAAGAUAAUAGAAGGAAAUUGGAAUUUAGAAGAGGGUUGGGAGGACUAAAUUGAAAAUAUGGGAACCUAAGAAGGCAAAACAGUAAUUUUCCUAUCAAGCUUGGUCAAAGCUUCCAAAGAAAGCUUUGACCCUUCAUCCUUUUCACAUGGUCGGUCAUCAUCUCCAAAGCAUCAUCUUCUUUCUCCUUUUCCUUGCAACGCCAUUUUUGUUCUUCCACCAUAAAAUUCAAGAUUUUCAUUUUCUUUUCCUUGUUUUCUUUUCUUACUUCUUUCUUCUCCUAACUUCUUGGGCAUCAAACUUGCAAUUUUUAACUCCAAUUUUCAGCACAUCUAAACCCUAGAAGAGAAAAAGAAAAAUCUCUCUUCCUUUCCUUUAUUUCCUAUUUUUACUCCACUUUCAACAAUACUUGAAUUUUGGCUUCAAAUCUUCAUUUUUAAGGCUAGAAUAUAUAUAUUUUCAACCCUUGAAUUUUUGAAUUUAUGGGUUGUAAUUUUUAGACUUUAUUUUCUAAGUUUCUUCAAAUUUUCUUUCCUUGAAAUUUGCUAGGUUUGGCUGAUCUUUAUACCUUCAAGCACCAAGGUAACGAAACUUCAAACUUGAACAAUUAAUUUAAAGGGUUUAUGAAUUAGACUAGAAUUCUAGAUUAGAAGUUGGGUUAAAGUGUAGAUUGUAUAGUGUGUAUUUAUUAGAAUUAUUAAAUUCAAAUUAUGACUUGAUGGAGGUUGUUAUGGCUUAUUAGUAAAUAUAAGUUUUAACAGUAUUUUGGGACUACCUAGAUUGAGACUUUGUGGGCACUAGUUUUGUAAGGUGGCAUUAAGGUGAGUGAACUUGCAUUAAAAUGUCUUAGGAUAAAUGUAUACGUUUUUAAUUGAAUCACCUGAAAUAUUUUAUCAGACUUUUCUUUAAAAACGUGCAUGGAAACAAGCCCUUGAUGAAAUGUUUUUAUGUGGUAAAAUAUGUGAUAUAAUGAAACCAUGUGUUCCUAUAUUAUGUGGAUAUGUGUGUUAUGCUUUGAGUGAUAAUGCUGUAUAAUAGCUAUAACCGUGCACGUGACGAUGCUGGUGGUGUGUGGUGUGGGAGUGCACAUGUCGGUAAUGAUGUGAGCCGAAAUACAUGUGAUGAUAUUGAAAUGUGCGUGUAAGGAGUGCACAUGAUGAUAUUGAAAUAUGCGUAUAGGGAGUGCACAUGAGCUGAGCAAGUAGCGGUGGUGUACAUGUAUAUAAAUACAUAUGCUGUAGACAAGUUAUGAAAAUAAAAAAUGUGAUUGUACUAUAUGCUAUAGAAUGCCUUUCCGCUGCAGCGAGAAACCCUCUGUUUUGCUUGUUUUGAUUGGAUAUUUGUUGUAGUUUUCACUCUUUUAAACUCCAUUAUGGAUUAUAAAUCCUUCACCUUAAGGGAUUAAAUAAUCAAAGGUUGAAUUAAGGGCUUUACAAGAAAUUAAACUAAGUUGCAUUGUUUUUAAACAAAUGCAUCAUGUUUUCGAAGAGCUCUCCGUAUCGUUUGCUUGUUCCCUUCCUAUGUUCACUCACUGGGUUUAUACUCACUCUUUUUAACUUCAUGUUUUCAUAUUUGAAGAUAGUUGGAUCUUAGGUAAAGGCACUUCCUCUUGUUCAUCUGACGGUUGGUUUACCAAAACACUUCAUGAUAGUAUCCACGCCAGAGUCAUUCCAUUGAUAGUCAAGGUCUUUUGUAUGUGUAUAUGGUUAUUUAAAUGUAAUUCAUUGGAUUUGUUGUAAACAUUAUAUGCUUGGUUUGCAUGAUAAUGUUGCCACAAGUUGGCAAAUAGUAAUGUUAUUUUGUGAAUGGUAUUGUUCAGUUAUCAUGACUUAUUUUCGAAAGGAAAUUAUUUUUGAAAAUAAUGAAUUAAGAUUGUAGAGGUAAAAGAGGGACAGAUGAUCUAAUGAACAAGUUUUCAUAGAAAGGCUUACUUGGGCGUAGUGGGCCAAGCCUAUUGGGUCCUUGUGCCGGUCAUGGCCCUGGAAUUGGGCUGUGACAUACCAAGAUCGUUGUCAUAUCUCCUACUUUAAGAAGUAUUACAAUAAACUCCAAAGAAAUACUUUCCCACUAUUUGGUCAGCACAAAUAGAGGUUCGAGCAUUCCCGUCAAUCUUUGUCUGUCUACUUUGUCUUGCUGGCAAAUGAGACACGUCGUCGUAUAAUCCAUCACAUCUUGUAGUAUAUGAGGCCAAUAGUAACCCUAUUUCAGUAGUGCAACAAUCUGUUGCCAACUUGGAUGUCCUACCCAAGGAGUUUCGUAGCAUAUCUGCAUUAAUUUUUGCCUAAGCUCUCCCACUCUUAGAACAAAUAUGCAUGGUCCCUUUGUUAGUAAGAGUCCAUUUUCCACCCAAAAGUAUUUUGACUUUUCACUCUCCACCAACUUUUUAAUAGCCAUUGCUUGGGGAUCUCGAUACAAGUUUUUCUCAAUAAGAUUACAGAUAUUUGUGGUCACUUUGUUGGCUGUCAUUGGUGCGAUCACCUUUAAAGUUAUGAAUUUGGAUUUCCUAUUGAGGGCGUCUACCACACGGUUCACUUUUCCAACUUUGUGCUCGAAGGAGAAAUCAAACUCGGCUAAGAACUCUUGCCAUCUCGCCUACUUGGUUGUAAGUUUUGGUUGUGUGAGAAAGUGACUUAAGGCUGUGUUGUCAGUUUUAACCUCGAAUUGUGAUCCUAGCAAGUAGUGUAAUCAAAUAAUGAAUCACUAUUAGUAGUUUUUUUCUCCUAUGUUGUGUUUUUCCUCUCAACUUCAUUCAACUUUUAACUUUCAAAUGCAACUGGGUGCCCUUCUUGUAACAACACUCUGCCAAGGGUAAAGUCUGAGGCAUUCGUUUAUACCUCUAAGGCUUUUACAAUAUCUGGAAGUGAUAAAACAAAAUCCGUCAUCAUCGCAUCUUUCAAACCUUUGAAGGCUUCUUAGCACUACGACGUCCAACCCCACUUCUAUCCCUUUUUCAGCAAUUCUGUUAGUACUACUAUCUUUUUUAAAUAUCCUUCCACAAAUCUCCGACAAUAAUUGGCUAGCUCUAAGAACGAAUAAAGCUCAAUUGUAUUCUUAGUGGUGGCUUAUUCUUUGAUAGCGUUCAUCUUUUGCAUGUUCAUUCGGAUGUGCCCAUGUUCAAUUAUGUGGCCAAAGAACUAAAUUUUGGUUUGUGCAAAUGUACAUUUCUCCCUUUUUACAUACAAUUGGUUGUCGAGUAGCCUUUGAAAGACUUGCCACAAAUGUCAUUGAUGCUCUUCUAAGGUCGAACUAUAUACUACAAUAUCAUCCAAUUAGAUUACCAUGAACUUAUCCAGAUAAUCAUGGAACACCUGAUUUAUUAAUGUGCAAAAGGUAGUAUGAGCAUUAGUUAGUGCAAAAGGUAUAACAAAAAAUUCAAAUACGCCAUACUGCAUUAUGCAGGUGAUUUUCGGUUCAUCUCCCUCAACCACUUUUACUUGAUAUAUCUCGAUCUUAAAUCUAAUUUUGAGAAGUACUUUGCAUCAUUCAACUAGUCAAAGAGAUUUACUAUAAGAGGGAUAGGAUAUUUAUUCUUAACUGUGACUUCGUUUAGAGCCCGGUAAUCCACUCACAAUAGUAAACUCAUAUCUUGUUCUGAAAGAGUAUUGGGGAGCCAAAAGGCACCUUUGAUGGUUAGAUAAAUUCUGCUUGAAUUAGUUAGUUUAAUUAUUUCUUUAGCUCCGUUAACUUUGGGAGAGCCAUCCUAUAUGACCCUUUUGUAGGUAGCUUGACUCUUGGGAGUAAUUCUAUCUCAUGUUUGACAGCUCAUUGAGGCGGUAAGACCCUAAGUAGUUGUUCUGGCAUCAUAUCUUGAAAUUCUUUCAAAACUAGUUUCACUUUUUCAAGUAUUGGAUUCAUGUUAUCUUAGCCUUUGUAGAUGGGCAUGCCACGUAAAAGGGCUCACCUUUCUUGAUCCCCCUUAUUAAACUGUAUAGUUGAUAUAAUAUUUUUCUCGCUCUUAGGUAGAAUUGUAGUCGGUACCACACAUGGUCGUUCUCCAAAAAACAUUAAACAACUUGUAGUAGGGAAAGGGAUGGCUUGUACUUUCGUCAUAAAAUCUAAGCCCAAGAUGAAAUCAAAGUUAUCUAUAGUGGCUAUUGUCAGGUUCAUCUUCCCUUCCCAAGAGCCAAUCUUAACCUUUAUGUCUUUAGCAUUUCCCAUGAUAGUUGAAGCUAGCAAGUUAACUACUUUCAUCUGCCCAAAGUCUUUCUCAACUCUAAUACCACAUCUCUUUGCCUCUCCUAGGGUGAUGAAGGUGUUGAAGGCCCCCAUGUCGAGCAUGGCUUUGGUACUUUUGUUAUUCAAUAACACCUCUACGUACAUAAUACUUUGUUGAGGCUCUUUUUCCAUUUUUUCUAAUUACAUAUGUAAAGCGCUGACGAAAUGAAUAAAACCUAUUUAUGCUAGCUCUUCUUCAACUUCUAUGACUAUGGUGUGGGCUAGGGGUGUCUCAACUUGAUAGUGCAUAUAGUACUGAGAGCUGCUUAAUGAGGACAAUUAGUUACUUAAUGUGGUUCUUUGCAUAAAAAACAAGAUAUCGAAGGUCGUGGCUUGAAGUUCCAUAGCUUGUUUGUUCUCGGUUGAGGUGAGUCUCUAGUAGGUCCUAUCGCCUCCCCUACUCGAGGGUCUGCUCACUCUUUGGAAUUUUACCCCACUAUUUGAGCUAAAGCUACUAGUCCUAGUUGGAGGGUUAUUUCUUUUGUUGGAGUUUUCACUAUAAUCAGUAAGAAGCUUGACAGUCGCCAUCGCCUAAGUCACAUCUUGUACCUUUUGUCGCUGUAACUUCGUCCUUGCCCAUGGUUUCAGACUCUCAAGGAAAUAGAGCAGUCUAUCAUUUUUGGUCAUAUCCCUAAUAUCUAGCAUUAAAGUAGAGAAGUUCCUCACGAACUCCCGCACUAAUCUUGUUUGUGACAACUUCUGCAACUUCCAUCGCAUCAUAUAUUCAACAUUCUUAGGAAAAAAUUGGUUCUUCAAUUCUUGCUUAAGGUCAGCCCAAGUGCUGAUGUGGCACUCACCAUUGAUGAAUUUGGAACACCACCAUAACUUCACGUUCUCAGCAAGAUACAUUGAAACCAUCACCAAUUUAUCCUCCUUCAACUCCUUAGCAUCUCUAAACCCUUCAUAUCGCUUAGGUUCCAACACUUGGGCUCUUUUCCUUCGAUCCCCUGAAUUAGCACUAGCAUUACCUGCAGCAAUAAUCAAAAGAUUUACAUGAGCAAUCAAUUCUCCAAUCUCGCCUUGAGAAGUGCUUAAUGCAUCCCUAGUUUCAUCACUUAGUGUAUUAAUCAUCUCGAACAGUUUUCACUAGAUAAUCUCGAAACCAUCUGAACUUUUAUUACGACCAUCGUAGCCUCUAAAUCAUCAAUCCUCUUAUGGUCCUCUGGUGAACUCUACGUGGUCACCAUUUUUACUCUUUGAAUCAACACGUCUUGCCCGUACUUUGAUACCAACUGUCACGAACUACGCUCACCUAAAUAUGCGAUAAUCCGUGCAGCACUUGAGUAGACGCUUCCACGUAAGCCAACCAAUACUCGGUUUUAUCUUAUCAAACAUUAAUAAUAGCAACAAAUCAGAUUAAGACAAUGCACAUCAAAAUCAUAAGGCAUACCGAAUGCUAUAUAUGCAACCACUGAGCCACAAAAAGGAAAUAUAUUUUAUUAAUAUGAAAAUUAAGUACAAAUGGACCAAGACACGCCAUCGUCAAGACAUAGGGGUAGCCCUAGAUGAUUUGCCACAAAUAUACCUUGACCAUUGAGACAGCCCAACAAUCCGUCGACUGCUCACCCUUUAUAAAGAGUUUACGAGAUUUUACACGUAUUUUACCAAUAGCCAUUACAACACUUGAUAUGAGGACAUUCUUUUCUUAAAGGACCUUUCCCUUUAAAGACCUAACAAGUAUUUUUAAAGAUGUCACAACGAGCCAUUAUAAUAUUUGAAAGAUUGACAUUUUCCUUACAAGUACAAAAGACUCAAUCUUUUAGACAACUAUUUUAGACAACUCUAUCCUAUCAUAGUCUAAUACAAGGUUGACUCAUGACACUCAACUAUGGUAUCAAUUGUUGAAGGAAGAGACUCCCUUUAUAAAUUGGGAAAACUUCAAACAAAGUCUACAAAAUAGGUACAAUCCUACCCAAUUUCGAGAUUUUUUUGGUGACUUUACUAAGUUACAGCAAAUUGGGUUAGACAGAGAGUAUCAGACCCAAUUCGAAAGACGAUUGAUUCAUGCAGGAAGGUUGACUAAAGCUUAACAAUUUACUUGUUUCGUGAGCGGUUUAAAAGAAAACAUUCAAAUUGAUGCACAAGUUUGCAGACCAAACUCUUUGUCGACGGCAAUUGGCCUAGCAAGACUGUAUGAAGCUCGAAACCAGUUUAGAAGCCAUACACAACCGGGAGCUCACAAAACGGGAGUAACCCAAGCUACAAAGCCAAAGUCAAACUCCAUGCCGAUCAAAAGGCUCAGUCUAGAAGAACUAAAAGAUGGGAGAGAUAAAGGUCUUUGCUUUAAUUGUAAUGAAAAAUUUGGCCUUGGACGUCGAUGCAAGAAACUUUUUCUGAUUGAAAGGAGUUGGGCUAAUGAUGAUGAUGAUGAUGUUGAUAUGGAACUGAAGGAUCAAGAUGAAAUGCCGAAAGUUUCUAUCCAUGCUAUAAGCGGGACCCGAGGCCCUCAAACCAUGAAGGUGCAUGGCAAAAUAGGGCAGAAGCAAAUGUUGAGACUAGUAGACUCAGAAAGUACUCAUAACUUCAUGCACCAUAAGAUGGCAACCAGAAUGAGACUCAAACCACGUACGCAAGGGAAGCUAGAGGUUGCAGUUGCAAAUGGAGACAAGCUACUUAGUGCAGGCCAUUGUAAAGGAAUUGCUAUGAACAUUCAAGGUAUUCCACUCAUAAUAAAUUUUUAUUUUUUACUCUUGGAAGGUUGUGAUGCAGUUUUGGGAGCGCAAUGGUUAAGGACACUAGGACCAAUUUUGUGGGAUUUUUCUACCUUGACCAUGCACUUUAAGCUUAAAGGGAAGGAUGUCACUCUAAAAGGGUUGGUGCCAUGUGCAAAUAGAUGGGUGGAUGAGCAUCAAUUAGCAAAAAUCCUAAAAAGGGAUAAGAAAGGGGUGCUACUACAUAUCAAUUUCGCUAGUGUAUUUUGGAGAGAGCUUUUUAUGUUGUAGGGAACCAGCUUCAAUUUUAGCACAGCCUACCAUCCGCAAACAGACAGGCAAACUGAAGCUGUUAACCCAACAGUAGAAAUAUAUCUACGUUGCUUCACAAGUCAUAAACCUCAUGAGUGGGUUCGUUGGAUACCUGGGUGGAGUAUAAUACAAGUGUUCAUUCUUCUGCAAAAAAAGGCACCAUAGGAAGUUGUUUAUGGCAAACCUCCUCCCACAUUGUUAUCCUAUGUUCCAGGCACCUCAAAGGUGGAAGCUGUAGACCGAGAGUUAAAGAGCAAAGACCAAGUCAUUUAGGAGUUAAGAGAGCAAAUAAAUAUGGCCCAGCAACACAUGAAAAAAUUCUAUGAUGCCAUAGAACUGACAAAAGCUUUAAUAUAGGGGAUCUUGUUUAUCUCAAGUUGCAGCCUUAUCACCAAGUGUCAAUAGCAUUGCGAAAAACUCUCAAGCUGUCCCCAAGAUAUUACGGGCCAUUCGAAGUUAUUGGGAAGAUUGGAGCAAUGGCGUAUAAACUCAAGUUGCUAAAAAAUUCAUAACUUCAUCAUGUGUUCCAUGUUUCCAUGCUUAAGAAAAAUGUGGAAAUAUAUUAAUGUAAAUGUGACAACCUCUCUACCCACUAUUCCAGUAGAUGACGGACCCAUUAUUUUGUCACCACAAGCUAUCCUCGAACAUCGAAAGAAAAAAGGAAGAAAUGAAGUAAUAGUUCAUUGGCAAGGCCUUUUUCCAGCUAAUGCUACUUGAGAGGACCUUCAGGAACUUCAGUUGAGAUUUCCAGAUAUGGCCCUUGAGGACAAAGGUGUUCUUUAGGGGGAAGAAUGUCACGUGCUAGCUUUGCCUGCCGAAGAUAUUUUCAAAGUGUAAAAGAAACGUAUUCAACUAGUAGUAUGACUAGUCUUGAGUUGUUGAAAAAUAAAUGGAGUUGUUGCAGAUUUUUUGAGAUAAAUUUAUUAUUUGUUGCUAGAAAUUAGGAAAAGUUAAUUAAAGUAAUUAUUAUAAAUUGUUAAGUAUUCCAGCAAUAAAGGUAUCUCAAUAUGUUUCACAAUUCAAAUAAAGCCUAGAAGAGUAUGUCUAUAUUAUAAUUUGUAUGCACUACAUCCAAUACUAACAUGAGGCUCAUGCUUGCCUUAAUUUCUUAAAGUUUAAGAUAUAAACAGAGAUUUUACGGAUUUUUUUUUACUAGUAGCUUAUUGAUAUUUUAUUUUUACAAAGAAUUAGAUUGUUAAUUUUUACUCAAUAAAAUUACAAAAAUGCUCUUAAAUGCGAAUAAAUAUGCUACUUUUGAAUUGAUGGCAUUUUAAUAAUUUUACUAGGCAACAUUAAUAACUUAACUCUAAUGGGAAUAGAAGUUAUUCAUAAGAUAGUAAUUAGCAAAAAAAAAUUAUAUUCAUUGGGUGCUAUAUUGGAAAAAAUAAAUUACACGUGUUUCGUGAGAAUUGAAACCAUAAGAGAUGUAGCCUACCAUUAAAAAAAAUUAAUGAUGGAAUUCAAUUUUUUUAUCCAAAAAAACAUUUUAUUUUCAAGAGUUUAUAUUUGAUAUAUUAACAGCGUAAAGUGUUAUCACUGAACCAUAAAAUGUCGUUUCGUACAUGUGCAAAGAUAAAAGUUAAAAAAUCUUUCAAAAUAAAUAUUUUUAAAAUUAUGAGGAUUAAUUAUUUUUAGAAUUUCCAACUUUUAAGUUUAUUUAUUAACGAGACUAUACAUGACAUUUUCAUGUACAAUUCAUAAGGAACACAAUAACAAAGUAAAACAUAUUUUCUUAACUGUUUGAGAGGUUUAUUAAAAAAAUAUUCCGGGGAAUAUUGGCAAAAAAAAAAUACUCAUGAGCAUUUUAGUUAUGAAAUAUUUAGACAAGAAUUUUUUUUAUCAAUAAAUUGAUUAUCAAAUAUUUUUUAUCCAAUAAACAACUUAAAUACUUCUUUAACUGGUGUUUAUAGGCAUUGAAAAGCGAACCCUAUUUAAAAAACAUUAGCAAUUUUAGCAUAUAUGCAAUGAAAUUAUUGAAUUUUGAAUUUAUAAUUAAGGAUCUAAAGUGAAGGAUGAAUUGAUUUCCAAACUAAUUAAAUAUUAAUAAUUAAUGGAUUUUGUUAACAAAUACCUUAAAAAUACUCUUUGAUGUGCUUAAUUAUAGUAAUAUUUUAAUAUUAAGUAUAAUGAUUAAUAAUUAAUAUGAUUAUUUAUGAUGUAUUGGGUGAAAAUAUCACUCAUUAUAUUUAGUAACUUUGAAAGGGGUUUAUAACAAUAGAAAUAUUAAAAUGACAUGAUAUCUUAAAAAACUCUUAUAUUAUUGAAAAAUUUAAAUAAAUUUUUAUUUUUUUAUUAUGUUUAAUCGAAUUAUUAUACUUUUUAUUUUGUGUCAAAUAAGUUUUUAUUAUUAGUGCUUAAUUAAUUGUUAUUAAUUAAAAUAUAACUUAGAUAUUUUAUACUAUGUCGUACUGAUGUGACAUAAUGAUAUGAUGAUGUGAUAUUUUUACGUCUCACAUUAAUCCCACAUGGAUAUAAAAUGACAAAAUAUAAUUUUGAAAAUAAUUAAUUAAUCAUAAUUAUAAAGAUUUAUUUAUUUUAAAAUAAAAAUAUAAAAACUUGACUAAAUAAUUGAGAAGUUUUUAAAGCAUUAUAUCAAAGAAAUAUUAAAAAAAUUCUUUUAAAACACUCUUUAAAAGAGAAUUAUAAUAAAUUUACAAUUAUCUUUUGUUAAUGAAAAGACACUUAUAUUAAACAUUUUCUCUUAGGCAUUUAAAAUUCUAUUUUUAAGUUAAAAGAUUGACACGAAUCCUUAAUAAUAUUCUUUAAAUUAUUAACAAUUAACUGGCAAAUGUUAUUUAAAUGGCGAAAUAUGCUUGGAUUUGAUAGGGUUUUUUGCUCUAUUUUUUGUAAUUAAUUCUGUUUAUUGUGGGAGCAAAUUAACAAACCGUUAAGCCAAAUUCCAAUGGACAAAAAGCUCAAACUCUAAUCAGGUGGCGACCCUGUCUGGUACUACUAUAGGUCCAAAGCCUUGUUCUAACAGAAGCCUGGAAUAUCAUUCUUCUAGAAAACAGCUAAGAAGUUGUUGUUCAACUACGGGCACAAAUCUGCUGGUGAUUUCUAUCUUUAGACAUUAUCAAGGUUUGACAAAGUAGAUGAAUUCAGCAUACGGAUUCAAUAUAGCACUGCCCAUAUCUUAAACAAGGGGAAGCAAAAUGACGAUUCAGAAAUGGGAAUUCUCUGGUCAAGAAGAAGACAUAAGAGGAAAAGAUUAUUUGUUUAUGAGAAAAUUUAAUUCAUUCUUUGAGAUAUGAGGCGCCACCCCAAUGCCCAGAAGAAAGGAAAAAAAAGCUUCAAACACUUAUUGCAACAAGAAGCAAGCUGCAACCUUAAUGCUAACUACCCUAUACUAUUGUAUAGAGUCACUUGGUAGGCUAUUUGGCAGUCAGCCUGGUAAUGUCACGGGGUUGUAGUAUUUGGAAGUGAUCAGUUAAGCCCAAGUGUGCCAUCAGAAGCCACACAUGGGUUAGAAGCUGUCCUCCUCGCCUCAGAUGUUGCCUGUGCUGAAUUCCUUCGCAAUGACUUGCAGCAUGAGCAAGCAUUUCCACCCAAGUAUCAGCAAUUAAGCUCCAUUUCUGCCAUUAACAUGGUAGUAAUAAAUUCACGAAUGAGAUCUCGAGCUCCAGGAGGGGGAGAGUAGGGAGUGAAGAAGAAUAAGAAGGGAUUAGUUUUGUUACCUCUUCCUUAUUUGAUAUUUCAUUCAAACUUCUAGCAAGCCUACUUCCAUCAGAUAACAGAGAUUUCCUUGUUCUAUACCUCCUUCCAAGCAAUUCUGUUCCGAUAGUAGCUUUAACCAACCUAUCAUAUGCAUCGGUUUUGUGUUUUGGUGGCUCUGGUGUAUUGCAAAAAUCAAUGACUUCGGCGCAAGUGUCUUCAAUUAGAAUAUCACCAAGCCCAGCUGGUAACAUGGAAGGAUAGUUAACAAGCAAAUGCAGCAUAUACCUUGACAUGAGAAUGCUGAUUUCACGCUUCGAUUGAGUGGUCUCUAUAGUUUCCUCCAAGUAGUAGCAGAUGUCGGUAGCAAUGUGCCAUGUCAGAAUUCUCUCAUCAAAUCCUUUCUCCACACUCCAUUUGAGCUCACCUUGACCAUAAAUUUCCACCGCAAAUAUUUGUCUGCCUGCAUCCUGCGUGUCAUAGACUGUUGCUUUAGCUUUAAGUCUCUCCUUGAGAUACUUGAAUAUCCAUUCCUUUAAGCUGUUGGAUAUCACCUCCUUAGUUACAUAUCUCUCCUUUUCUUGCUUUUCCACAAAGCCUAAGAACUUAAAGAGUUUCAGAAUUCUAUGGAGAAGGUGGGGUUUUACUUGACUCAGGAUUGGAUCGUAAAUCAUUGGUUUUUCUCUAAGCGCAAAGCUUAGUAGAUUGUAUUGAGCCAUGGAAUUUGACCACCUAGGAUUGCUAAAUAAUCGGACAGAAGUAAUGGCUCUCAAGACAGACGUCUUUUUACGCAAGCUCAACCACACAACAGUCCAAUCUGAGAAAAGAAUGACCAGUGCUGCAUAUAUGUCAAGCACAAUAGCUACUACCAGCAAUAGGAAGGUUAUGACAAGGUCAGCCUUUUUAUACUUGUGCUUAUCAUCAGCCAAAGAGAAAAAGACUAAUACAAUGCAGGUUAGUGAUAAAUUGAUGCAACGCAAGCUAAGGCCCCAUCGAGAAUAGACCGCUGACGCUUUUGUGUAGAGCAAAUCAAACAUGAAUGCAAGCUCCAUUUCAACUACUUCAAAAGCCUUUUGGAAGGACAGAUUCUGAAACACCGCUAGGCUGGUGUCUCGAUCCCGAGAACUAAGUAGGAGAUUCACAAAAAUACGCUUGAAUAUCUGAAGUAGUCCAUAAGCUUUAAGCAAUUCAUUGUUUUUGGAGAUGGAAUUGUCUUCAAUGGCAAAGGCCUCCAUAGGCAGCUGAAUAUCAAUUACUCUGUUUGUAUUACAUAUAUAUCCCUCUUCUUUUUUCACAUUGUACUCCUUUAGCAAAUUUGGGUUAGUGAGGCCUGGAAGAUCACGACGAGCAAGCAUGGAACCUUUAAUCUGUUCACUGCUUGCGGAACGGAGGACCCAGGUCCUUUCUACAUACUUGCUGAGGCCUACAAAGACCAUUAAAGUGGACAGAAUUGAAAGGUGAGAGCCUCUCCAUGCCAUGAGGAAGAUGUUGAAUGCGACUCCUGUUUGGAGAGCCAACCCAAGCAGGUGCCUCAACCACAACUCAUUGUCCUCUAAGGAGUAUGCAGUGAUGGUGUCAGGGCCACCUAAAUGCAACAACAGAAAUGGUGACCAAAAUACAUGUAGUUCAAUGUUGGCAUCCUGUUCACCAUUAUCACUUGUAUCUCCCAGGUCAUUUGAGAUAAUCCCAAGGGCCAUUGUUGCCACAGUGUCUGCAGCUAAGUAAGCCACCCAUACAGCAAAUCUGACCAAAAGCUGGUAACCAUACUUUCUGCGAUUGCCCACGACAAUGAGUAUUGUCUGAAAGAAGAGGCUAAAUAGAACCAGCCCUCGUAGCUGCCAGUCCUUCCAUAGUUCUUUUAAAGUUUGAACGAGUGCCUCCAUUGUUUUUCUCUUAUUCUUUGCAAGUCAAACUGCUAACAAUUAAUAUUUAUUAACAUUAGAUUGACCUAAAAAUGUAGCAUCUUAUCAGAAGGGAAAAUGACUGAGGCUUUGGUGGGUGGGUAGACUGAACUAACUAUUGAAAGAAGGAUUUCUAGGUCUCAUUAUAAAGGUUGAAACAGAUAAUUAAAUUGGUAUGAAAUGCUCCCCUAUCAGUGAUACAGUGAUACUAUUUCUCAUUAAGUACUGUAUUUUGUUCAUCGAUUAGCAGAUCAUUGACCUAAAAUAACAGAAACAAAGAAUUGCUCCAAGCAGCCUCAGAAGUAAGAAUAGAACACAUUAUGACAAGUUCAACAAACCAGCACAUAGAAACAAAGAAGCAAUCUAGAAUAGAAGAAGUUUCUUUCUUGAUGAAGGCUAGGGAUGCAUUCAAAAAGUUGGCUCAAGUCAGAAGCGCAAUGAGAAGGCAAUAUGAAGAGAAGAUUAGGUACCUGUGGGAAUCACUGUUGACACUGCUUUCUGGUCUAAUCAUCAAUGCUCAUGCCCCUCCUCAAAGUGGCAACGGGAACUCUAAGCUAAAUCUCCAGAGGAAGAGAGAGAGUAAGAAAAAAAAGAUAACUGCGAAUCCAUCUGCAACGGUGCACUUGGAAAUUAUGUAAACAAUGAUCACACUUGCUUGAGUUUGACUUCAUGUUUGAUAAAUUUAUAUAAUAUAUAUUCUUUUCUACAUUAACUGGAAAAGGAAAAAGUAUCCGAUGCCUCAUACCCUGAAAACAAUGAAAUAAAAGUGAAGCUUCCAUGGCUCACAUUCAGUCGUUGCUUCGUUGGUUUAAGAGCUAUAUAUCCUUCUUAUUUUUAUAAAUUUCCUCUUUUUUUUUUUACAAUGAAUUGCCUCUUCAUCUAUAAACAUAAACGGGAUUGAAUUAAGCCAUAUUAGAUAUACCUGUUUACAUGUUAUUGUUUGAUGUGGUGAGGAUGUGCUUCUUCUGGCUACAACUGAAAAUUCUUAGUUUUACAUCAUGGUAUAACAUAGCCUGUGAUACCUUGCCCAAGUUUCAAGUUCAACUAGCUUCUUGAGUGCCUUUGUCACUCUAUGGAAUCAAAAUUGAUUAGCAUCAGAGAAAAGGAUAGGAACUUAUGACUUUACGAACUGCUCCCUGUCCCACCUCCGUUCUGGUCUUUUCUCUUCCUUCUAGAGACAAAAAGCUAGUUAGGAUUCUUCAUGAAAAUUGGACUUCCAAGGACUAUCGCUAAGCUACCUUGUAAGUUUGAUUUAAGAUCCUAGUCAUUCAACUAUUCUAGGAAUUUGACCUGUAUAUAUUCACUUUCAUAAACAAAAAAAAUUAUUCCCGUAAUUGCUGCAAAGUUUUAACAUAGCAGAAAUACAAGUGAAUGAAGCAUGAGGUUAUUGAGGCCUUUGUUGUGUUGCUUCAGAAAUCCAGUCUCAACGAAAUAGAGCAAGUAGAUUUACUACACAACUUUUAAAAAGUAACAUUUCAGAAAAUAUGAAAUUGAUGCAGAAUAUGAUUUCCCUAGAGUGACGGUCUUUCUCGCGGGAAGGGCAUAUACUCUGUCCUGACUCUUGCCUCCAGGAUCUCAUUCCUACAUCUGAGUAAAAUAACAAAUAUUAGUCUAGAGAAGAUACGCAAAGAUGGUGCAACAUCAAAGUGUAUUUUCUUUUUUAUCUAGGAUAAAACUAGUCCAGUUUCAUGUGUAAGAUGAGCAAAGGCAAGGGAGACUCACCAUCGGAGGAGAAGGUUCCCAGUGAUUUUCUUUGAUAAAAACAGCGCUGCCGGGGCUCUUGAUACCUCUAACAUAGUCUGCAAAAUCUGGUGGCAUAUUAGUAAGUAUCAAUUCCCUCAAGCUGGACAGCUGGUAAAAUGCAUCCAGCGUUUUGAGACUUCUACAGUCCCUAAUUUCUAAUUCUCUGAGACUAGGCAAGGCUCCUUCUUCCACAAGCCACUUACUAAAAUGGUCCAGUUGCCACAGUUUCAAGACAUGGAGUUGAGGAAAUGCUCCAGAGGCACAAGUCAUUUCUUCCCCUACGUAGGAAAAAUUGAAAAGCCUAAGUGUAUUUAACUGAGGCAGCUUUCCUAGCUCUAGCAUUGGGUCUUUGCCCAGUCCCGUCUUUGAUAAAGUGAGGCUUUUCAGGUUUGGAGGAAAUAUUGUGGAUUUGAAUGGUCUUAGUAACGAUCCAAACAAAUACAAGUUGACCAGGUUGUGCUGCUCCUUGAAGCUCGUGAACUUGAUGGAUGCACUCUCAC